rnacentral:lncRNA from 1 species
UCAAGGGGAAAGGUAAAUCCUGCUCCAUCCAGGGCCAGAGCUUUCAGAGCCCAUCUCCUGCCAAAAUAUGGAAAAACAGAGGGUCAAGAGUUCAGUCUGGAGGGCUGGGUAGGCUGGCUGGGGUCCAAGAGAGGGGAACGGUCCACCCUGGGCACCUGUCCAGAGGAUGGGCUGCUUCUCACUUAGACCAAAGGAACCACUUGUCACCUGGAGUGGAUUGAAGAAGGGUUGUCCCCUCCCAAGAACUUAUUCGAUGACUCCUGUCUGCUGGCCCCAACAUUGACAUCUGGAGGGCUGGAAGAUGGACUGUCUCUGCUAUGGAAUCCUGGUGGCCAGCAUUUUCCUCACGUCUUCUGGGUUUCCCUUUGUACCCAGCUCCUCCUAUUGUAACUGAAAGAUAGUAGAUAAUCAAAAUAAUCUUGGAUGGUUGGGUGGAUAGGUAAGGGAACACUGCUUCAAGACCUGGGCACAGGCCCCUCCUGCCUCACCUCCCUGGACAUCACCUCCAGUCCAUACUAGACCCAAUAUAUAGGCAAAGAACCUGCCGUCAUCUCAGC